GGGGCUGCCCUGGUUUCGACGUGGGUUCGGGAUCGGUACGGUGCAUGUCGAGCUUGAGUGACGCUCGUAAAUCUCCAUUCACAAAAGUAACUGCAAACGACGAACGUUUCGCACUCGCCGCUUAAAUCCGGUGAGCCUUGCAACAGCACGCUGAUGGGCUGGGCAAGGGGGUAGCAAUACCUCCAGGCUGCAAGGGAAUUCACAUCAGCUGGCUUGGUACCGGGCACCUUGGUAUUGAGCAAGAUUUAAGGGUGCUGGC
rnacentral:tmRNA from 1 species